AUUGAACGCUGGCGGCAGGCCUAACACAUGCAAGUCGAACGGUAACAGGAAGCAGCUUGCUGCUUUGCUGACGAGUGGCGGACGGGUGAGUAAUGUCUGGGAAACUGCCCGAUGGAGGGGGAUAACUACUGGAAACGGUAGCUAAUACCGCAUAACGUCGCAAGACCAAAGAGGGGGACCUUAGGGCCUCUUGCCAUCGGAUGUGCCCAGAUGGGAUUAGCUAGUAGGUGGGGUAACGGCUCACCUAGGCGACGAUCCCUAGCUGGUCUAAGAGGAUGACCAGCCACACUGGAACUGAGACACGGUCUAGACUCCUACGGGAGGCAGCAGUGGGGAAUAUUGCACAAUGGGCGCAAGCCUGAUGCAGCCAUGCCGCGUGUAUGAAGAAGGCCUUCGGGUUGUAAAGUACUUUCAGCGGGGAGGAAGGGAGUAAAGUUAAUACCUUUGCUCAUUGACGUUACCCGCAGAAGAAGCACCGGCUAACUCCGUG
rnacentral:rRNA from 1 species